CACGUAGGGACCAAGCGUUGUCCGGAUUUAUUGGGCGUAAAGAGCUCGUAGGCGGUCUGUCGCGUCGGUCGUGAAAACUUGGGGCUUAACCCUGAGCUUGCGGUCGAUACGGGCAUGACUGGAGUUCGGUAGGGGAGACUGGAAUUCCUGGUGUAGCGGUGAAAUGCGCAGAUAUCAGGAGGAACACCGGUGGCGAAGGCGGGUCUCUGGGCCGAUACUGACGCUGAGGAGCGAAAGCGUGGGGAGCGAACAGG
rnacentral:rRNA from 1 species